UUCGGAGGAUUCGGAGGCGGACACGGAGGGUUCGGACGUGGAUCUGGAGGAUAUGGACGGUAAUCCAUGACUUCGCACCACCAUCUUGGCCACAGAAGAUAAUAAAAUUGUUAUAAAAA